UAGUGGCGAACGGGUGAGUAACACGUGAGGAACCUGCCCCGGAGACCGGAAUAGCCCAGGGAAACUUGGAUUAAUGCCGGAUGUCCUCGGAUGGUCGCAUGGCCGGCCGAGGAAACAGUCCGCUGCUCCGGGAUGGCCUCGUGGCCUAUCAGCUUGUUGGUGAGGUAACGGCUCACCAAGGCGACGACGGGUAGCUGGUCUGAGAGGACGAUCAGCCACACUGGGACUGAGACACGGCCCAGACUCCUGCGGGAGGCAGCAGCAGGGAAUUUUGCACAAUGGACGAAAGUCUGAUGCAGCGACGCCGCGUGGGGGAUGAAUGCCUUCGGGUUGUAAACCCUUUUCAGGAGGGACGAAGCGAAAGUGACGGUACCUUCAGAAGAAGCCCCGGCCAACUACGUGCCAGCAGCCGCGGUAAUACGUAGGGGGCGAACGUUGUCCGGAUUUAUUGGGCGUAAAGAGCUCGUAGGCGGCUCAGCAAGUCGGCCGUGAAAACCCGGGGCUCAACCCCGGGACGCCGGUUGAAACUGCUGUGGCUAGGGUCCGGUAGAGGAGAGUGGAAUUCCCGGUGUAGCGGUGAAAUGCGCAGAUAUCGGGAGGAACACCAGUAGCGAAGGCGGCUCUCUGGGCCGGUACCGACGCUGAGGAGCGAAAGCUAGGGGAGCAAACAGGAUUAGAUACCCUGGUAGUCCUAGCUGUAAA
rnacentral:rRNA from 1 species